rnacentral:rRNA from 1 species
AUUGAACGCUGGCGGCAGGCCUAACACAUGCAAGUCGAACGGUAACAGGAAUCAGCUUGCUGAUUUGCUGACGAGUGGCGGACGGGUGAGUAAUGUCUGGGAAACUGCCUGAUGGAGGGGGAUAACUACUGGAAACGGUAGCUAAUACCGCAUAACGUCGCAAGACCAAAGAGGGGGACCUUCGGGCCUCUUGCCAUCGGAUGUGCCCAGAUGGGAUUAGCUAGUAGGUGGGGUAAAGGCUCACCUAGGCGACGAUCCCUAGCUGGUCUGAGAGGAUGACCAGCCACACUGGGACUGAGACACGGUCCAGACUCCUACGGGAGGCAGCAGUGGGGAAUAUUGCACAAUGGGCGCAAGCCUGAUGCAGCCAUGCCGCGUGUAUGAAGAAGGCCUUCGGGUUGUAAAGUACUUUCAGCGGGGAGGAAGGGAGUAAAGUUAAUACCUUUGCUCACUGACGUUACCCGCAGAAGAAGCACCGGCUAACUCCGUG